rnacentral:lncRNA from 1 species
GCUUGAGGAGCAAAAGAAAAUCCAGUACCAGGCGCUAUCCUAUCCGAUAUCCACACAGACGUGACUCGUUGCCCUCCCCUCGCACAAUCCCGUCGCGGCGUCGCCCUCCCCUUCUCUCCGACCGGCGGCGCCGACCCUCCCAGCACUGCGACGCCGCCCCUCCCAGCUGCGAAGAUGGAGUCCUUGGUGGCGAACUUGGUGGCCCAGGCCAGCACGAUGUUCUCGUUCUUCCCCGUGAAGUAGUUGAGCACGAAGCAGAUCAGGAAGCUAACGCAGGCGAUCUCGACGGAGAAGGCACGCAGGAGCUCCGCCGGCGUCCUCUUCGGGGCUGGCGCCGCCUCGGCCGCCGCCUCCACGGAGGGAUCUGAUGGGGCGGCCUCGGCCGGCGCGGCGGAGUCGUCGGAGGAGAUCGCCUCCGGCACGGGGAUGCCCUCGAACUCGUCCUCGUCCCAGAGAUCGAGCGCCAGGGUGGGGUUCGAGGGCGUGGGCGCGGCGGGGUUAGGGUUCGGCGCCGAAGUCAUCGUGACGGGAGGGGAAGGCGAGGAGGUGGAGAGGGAGAUGGGCGGAGGGGGCGAGAGGUCGACGCCGUCGAGCCCCUCCUCGUCAUCGUAAGCAUCGACGCCGCCAGCCGUGGAGGGGAGGUCGUCGGAGUCGAAGCCCUCGAAGUUGGCGGCGAGGGAGAAAGUGAGGUUGAGGGCGAGGAGCAGGAGGAGUAGGAGGGCUGCGCGCGGCGGCCGGAGCCCGAUCCAGCUCGGCGCUGCCAUGGCCGAUGAGGUGUUCUGGGGAAGAUGGAGGGGCAUUUUUGUCUAACAGAUUCGAUUUUCAGUUGAGGUCUGCACCUCUCAAAUUGGUAUUUUCAGUUGAGGUCUGUACCUUUCAGUGGUAUUUUACGGUAUCAAUAUCUUUCAAUGAUAUGUUAUAGAAAUCGACCAAUUUUUUCAAAUAAUUUUACGGUAUUUUACGGAGUGAAUGUCUUUCAAUAAUAUUUUAUAGAAGUCGACCAAUUUUUUCAAAUAAAAAUGACAAGCUGGAGUAGACAAUGCUGGUAUGAAUUAUGAUCAAGCUCUAUCUUCUUUAACGGAUCUAGUUUUCCUAGACGGGUAAUCCUCUUCAUCAGAUCUUCAUCCCGAUAGUACUAUGGUUUUAUUCCUCUCCUCUUCUAACGAAGCACUAUGAAAAGAGUAUGUUUAUAUAGUGAUAACUUUUCGAAAAAUAUUUACAUCUACCCGAAAUGAUAGCGAAGACGAGGUUGGAUGUAGAGAUGAAUGAUGUACCAGAGAAGCUAAGAACAAUUCUAACACCCGUCGUCCCACCUCCUGGAGAGAAACGCAAAAAAUUACUCCAACCGAGCUCUCAUCCGCUUCCUAACUUUGAAACCUCUCAUCCAGUGUCCUCGACCUUCUUCCAUAUGUAGGAGUUUCUGCUCCGACUUCUCAUCCGAGAGGGAGGCGCAAUCAUUAAGCUUCCCGCGCCGCCGCAGACUUCCCCUCUCCUGAUCCGCAACUGUAGACAGAGCACCACCGCGAGGUUCGAUGCUUUGCAGCCCUAGCCAUGCGCGCCAUUGCUGGUACCACACGUCAUCGCUAGGCCCUGCGGUGCUCCAAGCAACAAGCUUGUGCUCUGCACGCCACGCGCACAGCUCUGCAGUGCAUUGAUGUGUGAAUCGAAUACAACAAGAUACCGCUGCCAAUCGUCAAAAUUAGCCACCAAAACCACACAUCCCAAAAAAUGAUUAGUCCCCCACUAAUUUACCUCCAUGCAAUUCCAUUUUGAUGGUCACCACUACCAUUUGAUCCAGUAGUGCUGCCGGUGAUAAACAUAAAGAUAUAAAUAUGAAGAGUUUGUUGGAGUUCAUUGUUAAAUAGGAUUGAGAAAUUUAACGAGAGACUCUCGUUUGGGUGAAAUGGGAGUCCAAAAAUAGGAGGAGAGUUGGAGUUGUUCUAUGAUUUCUAGUACGCUCCACUUAUUCUACGCCAAGCACCCAAUCAUAAUCAUACUUUUUAGAAAAAAGAUAGCAGUUAGUGGACCUUUAUAAAUAUUUUUGUUCCAUGUAAUUGUACACAAAUUAAUAAUUAGCUCAUCUAAAUCAUUAUAUUAUUUGUGGUUAAAAUAAUAUUAAACUCGCACAAAUACAAUUGAUUAUAAUAAUUUAGAGGGUCAUCAUAAAAAAUCCACUUAUUUUCCUUUUCAAGAAAAUGAUUGGCUCAACCGUAUUUUUCAAAUGCUUUUCUAUUAUUCAUAUCAUUAUUGGUAAAAUUUAAUGCCUAUUUUUUUUAUUCCUUCAGUAAGAACGUGAUUAACAACCACUUUGGUG